ACCAUCCUUUUCUUGGGGUUGUGCUACUGUCCAAUGAACACCUGGUGAGAGCAGUACUGCUAACGUCUACUAAAAGUAAAUAGAUAAAUAAAAUUAAGAAGAA
rnacentral:ncRNA from 1 species